GACGAACGCUGGCGGCGCGCCUAACACAUGCAAGUCGAGCGGAGUUAGUUUGUAGCUUGCUACAAACUAACUUAGCGGCGGACGGGUGAGUAACGCGUGGAUAACCUGCCUUUUACAGGGGGAUAACACAGGGAAACUUGUGCUAAUACCGCAUAACAUAUAGAAGUGGCAUCACUUUUAUAUCAAAGGAGCAAUUCGGUAGAAGAUGGAUCCGCGUCCGAUUAGCUAGUUGGCGGGGUAAAGGCCCACCAAGGCGACGAUCGGUAGCCGAACUGAGAGGUUGAUCGGCCACAUUGGGACUGAGACACGGCCCAGACUCCUACGGGAGGCAGCAGUGGGGAAUAUUGCGCAAUGGGGGAAACCCUGACGCAGCAACGCCGCGUGAAGGAUGAAGGCUUUCGGGUUGUAAACUUCUUUAGUCGGGGACGAAAAAAUGACGGUACCCGAAGAAUAAGCCACGGCUAACUACGUGCCAGCCGCCGCGGUAA
rnacentral:rRNA from 1 species